GAUGAACGCUGGCGGCGUGCCUAAUACAUGCAAGUCGAGCGAACAGACGAGGAGCUUGCUCCUCUGACGUUAGCGGCGGACGGGUGAGUAACACGUGGAUAACCUACCUAUAAGACUGGGAUAACUUCGGGAAACCGGAGCUAAUACCGGAUAAUAUAUUGAACCGCAUUGUUCAAUAGUUAAAUACGGUUUUGCUGUCACUUAUAGAUGGAUCCGCGCCGCAUUAGCUAGUUGGUAAGGUAACGGCUUACCAAGGCAACGAUGCGUAGCCGACCUGAGAGGGUGAUCGGCCACACUGGAACUGAGACACGGUCCAGACUCCUACGGGAGGCAGCAGUAGGGAAUCUUCCGCAAUGGGCGAAAGCCUGACGGAGCAACGCCGCGUGAGUGAUGAAGGUCUUCGGAUCGUAAAACUCUGUUAUUAGGGAAGAACAAAUGUGUAAGUAACUAUGCACGUCUUGACGGUACCUAAUCAGAAAGCCACGGCUAACUACGUG
rnacentral:rRNA from 1 species